rnacentral:pre_miRNA from 1 species
AAAGUACUCCCUCCGUCCCAAAAUUCUUGUCUUAGAUUUGUCUAGAUACGGAUGUAUCAAGUCACAUUUUAGUAUUAGAUACAUCAGUAUCUAGACAAAUCUAAGAAAAGAAAUUUGGGACAGAGGGAGUAGUUG